AUAUAUAUAUAUAUAUAUAUAUAUAUAUAUAUCAAUCGAAGUGUUCCAAGAAUUUGCAACUGAUGAUGAAAAUGGCAAUCUAAACUACUUGUCUGCAGUAUUUGAUUAAAUCAGUUCUUGCAGUGCCAAUUACCAAUUGCUAAUGCCAAUUAGUUUUAUAUUUCUGAUCCAGUACAAUCAACUCUGAGAUUGAUUUGAGACAGCCAUAAACAUGUAAUGGUUUCUAACCUGCUUUUAUUAUUACAAUGUAACCAUACCUUAUAGAUAUGACACAUGAUUUAGCCAAGUCCCAUGUAUUUCAUGUAUCCUUUUAUGCUUAAAACAAUGGACGUUGAACUUUCAUUUUAUUCUGAUUAUUAUUAUAAUGUAUUUAAGGGAGCAGUCCAGGUGAAAUGUGAAACAGAUUUUAUCACAAAAGCAAGAAAUUUGGUGCUGUCAUUGGGGCAUUAAACUAGGGUUGGGUGAUAUGGGAAAAAUGUUGAGAUGUCAGUUGAUGUUGAUAAUUAUCAUAGUGAAUUUUAAAACAUUCGUUAAUUUCUUUCUAGUUUAAAGGCUGUUUUUUUGGUUGACUGGUUUAUGUUCAUUAUAUGCAAUAAGUAGAAAAUGAUUUAAUGAGAAAACAAGAUAAAAAUGACACAAAACAACAAAGAAGAAAGUUAAGUAAAUGAUAUAACAAGAAGGAAACAACAUGAAAAAUACAGUAAGAUAAAACAAGAUGAAAGCAAUGCAAUGAAAUGAAAUGAAAUGAUGUGAAGACCACGCAUGACAAAAACAAGUGAAUUUAGAUUUAUGUGUCCAGGUGAAGAACUAAUUUUAAUUGUAAGAUUUAGGCAUUCUUCACAUUGUGUAAAGCAAAAGCUCCAUCAAUCAGAUGAAAUCAAUGUAUACUGCCCAUCGCUUGUUCUGUUUUAACAUGUUUGGUUCAAGUUAUGUCAAACACAUCAUUAUUCUCUUAUGGCAUAAAGUAAAAUGGCCCCUGAGCCAAAGCUCCAUGUUCCUUGCUUUUGUGAAGAAUUGAGCACAUCACCUGAACUAGAGCAUAUUCAUGGGAAACACCUGGUCUGAUGAAAAAAACAGCAUUUCUCGUAGCAGUAAAUGUAGCUUUUAAAGCAGUCCUGCUGCAGCAAACUGAUUGUGAAGAACAACACUGAGCUGGAUUUCUGUAGAUUAGACUAAGGAUGAGUAGAUCCAUGACAUACAAAUAACAGUAUUAUUGAUUUCCAAUUGGAUUGACCUGUCCAUUUGAAUGGUAUGUAUUGAUUUGUUUGCAUUUGGAUUGAGGUGUUUGUGUUCCUGUAUUUGUGUUGAGCCCACAUGUCAUCGGUUUCUGUUCUUUGUAGCAUGAACUCUCUGGCGGUCUCCAGUGUAUGUACUGUCCACAUGCAGAUAUAUCAUUUUGGUUUGUGUUUUGUGCUUGCUGACUCUAAGUGUGACUUAAUCUUUGCUUUGCUUUCUUUGCACAGUGUCUUUGUGGUUGUUUCUCAUAGCCCAGAGCAAAUAAAAUCGUACCAAUUUUCAGCACUCA